CCCAAAAAGUGUCUCAGUUCAGAUUGUAGGCUGCAACUCGCCUACAUGAAGUCGGAAUUGCUAGUAAUCGCGGAUCAGCAUGCCGCGGUGAAUACGUUCCCGGGCCUUGUACACACCGCCCGUCACACCAUGAGAGCCGGUAACACCCGAAGUCAGUAGCCUAACCGCAAGGGGGGCGCUGCCGAAGGUGGGAUUGGUAAUUGGGGUGAAGUCGUAACAAGGUAGC
rnacentral:rRNA from 1 species